ACGGGUGAGGACUACAUGGGUAACCUACCCUCGAGUGGGGGAUAACCAGCCGAAAGGUUGGCUAAUACCGCGUACGCUUCCGGGACUGCGGUUUCGGAAGGAAAGCGAUACCGUGGGUAUCGCGCUCUUGGAUGGGCUCAUGCCCCUAUCAGCUUGUUGGUGAGGUAACGGCUCACCAAGGCAUCGACGGGUAGCUGAUCUGAGAGGAUGAUCAGCCACACUGGCACUGCGACACGGGCCAG
rnacentral:rRNA from 1 species